rnacentral:tRNA from 1 species
GGAGUUGUGGCUCAGUGGUAGAGUGCUUACCUAGCAUGCAUGAGGCACUGGGUUCAAUCCUCAGCACCCCA